rnacentral:rRNA from 1 species
UACGGAGGGUGCGAGCGUUGUCCGGAAUCAUUGGGCGUAAAGGGCGCGUAGGUGGCCCGGUCAGUCCGUGGUGAAAGCGCGGGGCUCAACCCUGCGUCGGCCAUGGAUACUGCCGCGGCUCGAGCACUGUAGAGGCAGGCGGAAUUCCGGGUGUAGCGGUGGAAUGCGUAGAGGAUCCGGAAGAACACCGGUGGCGAAGGCGGCCUGCUGGGCAGUUUGGCUGACGCUGAGGCGCGACAGCGUGGGGAGCAAACAGG